rnacentral:rRNA from 1 species
AUUGAACGCUGGCGGCAGGCCUAACACAUGCAAGUCGAGCGGAGCGGCGGACGGGUGAGUAAUGCCUAGGAAUGUGACUGGUAGUGGGGGAUAACGUCCGGAAACGGGCGCUAAUACCGCAUACUAUCAGAUGAAGCUAGGUCGGGUUAGCUAGUGGGUGGGGUAAAGGCCUACCAAGGCGACGAUCCGUAACUGGUCUGGGAGGAUGAUCAGUCACACUGGAACUGGGACACGGGCCAGACUCCUACGGGAGGCAGCAGUGGGGAAUAUUGCACAAUGGGCGAAAGCCUGAUCCAGCCAUGCCGCGUGUGUGAAGAAGGUCUUCGGAUUGUAAAGCACUUUAAGUUGGGAGGCGUUACCAACAGAAUAAGCACCGGCUAACUUCGUGCCAGCAGCCGCGGUAAUUC